rnacentral:lncRNA from 1 species
CACAGGCUCCUUCAUCCUGCCACUCUUGGUCCUUAACCUGCAGCUUCCAUCUCACGGACACCUAGGGAUGCUGCAGCUCCUGCCAUCUCAUCUGCUCUCUAGGACGCCCUCAGCACAUGUUGCUGUUGUUCAGCAUGUGUUGUCGGAGUCACAUGGCGCCAUUUCUGCUGAAGUCCUGUCAUCCAGAAUUUAGUCACCGGCCGGCCAUCUGAGCUUCUGGGAGUCCCUUUCUCCCCAGAUGCCGCAGAUAUCCAUACCCGGCCCUGGACGCUGCUCCUGAGCACUGUUACACUGAGGAGACUUCUGCCUGCUUCGGAUAUUGUAGAAGACCUUCACCUCCGCUCUGUUACUUUGGAAACUUGGUUUAGAGCAAGAACAAGGUUAAGGAAGUUAAAA